AGUUUAAUUCGGCCGCCAGCUUUGUCGUCUCUUUCGUCUCCGUCCAUCCCCGUCGUUCCUUUGCGUUUGACUCUCUUCCUCCUUCUUCAUUCUCUCUCUCUCUCUCUCUCUCUCUCUCUCUCUCUCUCUCUCUCCACCACCCUCCUUCUUAUCGUUCUUUUCCUCUUCCUCAUAUUGUGAUCUCUUUUCCUUCGUCACUCAGUUUUCUCUGUUUUCACACACUUCAAACUCUCCUUUUCUUUCUUUAACCGACAAAUCAAUCCAAAGGGACUGAUAACCCGUUACUCGUUAACCCCCCACCACCGUUUAUUCUUUCUUUUUUUCGCCCAAGGUCAGAGCUUUUUCUCUCUCUUCAACCGUUUUUCAUUGUUAUGAGGCGGCUUAAGAGGUUGGGCAUCGUGACUUGAGGAUCACUAUUGCUUUUUUGAGUGGAUUUGGUUUUUUCGUCUUCGGUGAAGAGGUAAGGGAGGUGAGAACAGAGAUGACUGGCACCGAUGAAGUCAACCUCAGUGAAUCUAAGAGUGUUGUUCCACUCAAUACCUGGGUGCUUAUCUCCAAUUUCAAGCUUGCUUACAAUCUACUAAGACGUGCUGAUGGAACGUUCAAUCGAGAGUUGGCAGAAUUCCUGGACCGCAAGGUCCCGGCCAACGCAAUUCCUGUGGAUGGGGUAUUCUCUUUUGAUCAUGUUGAUCGAAACACCGGUCUAUUCAAUAGGGUGUAUCAAGUAGCUCCUCAAAAGGAAACUAGGUGCAACAUAAUAGAGCUGGAGAAGCCCCUGAGCACAACAGAGAUCGUUCCUGUUAUAAUAUUCUUCCAUGGUGGAAGCUUCUCUCAUUCAUCUGCUAACAGUGCUAUCUAUGACACUUUCUGCCGCCGCCUUGUGAACCUUUGCAAGGCUGUGGUGGUUUCUGUAAACUACAGGCGAUCGCCGGAGCACCGUUAUCCAUGUGCCUAUGAUGAUGGCUGGGCUGCCCUGAAGUGGGUUAAGUCCAGGAAGUGGCUUCAGUGUGGAAAGGAUUCGAAGGUUCAUGUGUACUUGGCCGGCGAUAGUUCUGGUGGUAACAUUGCUCAUCAUGUGGCUGUGAGAGCUGCUGAAGAAGAUAUUGAAGUGCUAGGCAAUAUUCUUCUUCACCCACUGUUUGGUGGGGAGAAGCGAACUGAGUCAGAGAAGAAACUUGAUGGAAAGUACUUUGUGAGGCUGCAAGAUCGUGAUUGGUAUUGGAGGGCUUUUCUUCCAGAAGGGGCAGAUAGAGAUCAUCCAGCUUGUAACCCAUUUGGUCCCAAUGGUAAAAAUCUUGCAGGCCUCAAGUUGCCUAAGAGUCUUGUUUGUGUGGCUGGUUUGGAUCUUCUCCAAGAUUGGCAAUUGGAAUAUGUGGAAGGUCUCAAGAAUUGUGGCCAAGAUGUCAAACUUCUUUACCUUAAGGAGGAUCCCAUACAUAACUAAAAGCCUGACAUUUCAACUGGGUUUGCUUAAAAUAAAAACUCAGGUUUUCUAUUUUCUUUGUCUUUCCUUUCCUGUUCCAAGGACCAUCUUCAUGACCAAAGAACUAUGGUAAUGGCUGAAUAUGGAAUUAUCAACUAAGAUUCGCUUCCAAAAGUUGAUACCAAAGUCCAAGAUGGAAAAGGGAAAGGAGUUUUGUCUGGUGUGUACUUAAUCAUAAUGAAUAAUGAAACGUGUAAUGGAAAGAGUGGGUGGGUGGGAGGAGGACCAUCCUCGGUCCUUUGAUGCCUUGGCAAAUCUCAUUUCAUCCACAAAAAGAGAUGAAAACAAGAACUUUCACAAGAACUGUGGAACAAUCAUGCCAUGAGUAUGGAGACCAACAGAAAUCAUGACCCAUGUCUGCAUUGGAAAGCAUUAUAGUCCACGGCUUCCUGCUCCACCUCUCAACUGGUUCAAUCUUUAGAUGCAAUUUUUUUUUAUGCAAUUCUAUGAACUUAAAUUUUUAAACUGCGAGUUUUUCAUUCCACGAUCAAAGAGUGUGUAAUUUUUUACUUUGAAUUCUACUUAAGAUUUUCAUUCAGCAUCAAUGAGGUUAGAAUAUGAUGAAUUGAUAUGCAGUAUCA